rnacentral:tRNA from 1 species
GCACUCGUAGCUCAGUUGGAUAGAGCGUUGCCCUCCGAAGGCAAAGGCCGGACGUUCGAGUCGUCUCGAGUGCGCCA